UAAAGUGCUUUAAAGUGUAACUAU
rnacentral:siRNA from 1 species